rnacentral:rRNA from 1 species
CAAGAUGGCAUCAUGAGUCCGCAUGUUCACAUGAUUAAAGGGUAUUCCCGGUAGACCGAUGGGGGAUGCGUUCCAUUAGAUAGUAGGCGGGGUAACGGCCCACCUAGUCUUCGAUGGAUAGGGGGUUCUGAGAGGAAGGGUCCCCCACAUUGGAACUGAGACACGGUCCAAACUCCUACGGGAGGCAGCAGUGGGGGAAUAUUGGUCAAUGGGCGAGAGCCUGAACCAGCCAAGUAGCGUGAAGGAUGACUGCCCUAUGGGUUGUAAACUUCUUUUAUAAAGGAAUAAAGUCGGGUAUGGAUACCCGUUUGCAUGUACUUUAUGAAUAAGGAUCGGCUAACUCCGUG